rnacentral:rRNA from 1 species
GAAGCUGGAAUUGCUAGUAAUGGCAGGUCAGCAUACUGCCGUGAAUACGUUCCCGGGCCCUUGUACACACCGCCCGUCACACCAUGAGAGUUGGAAAUACCCGAAGCCUGUGAGCUAACAGUAAUGAGGCAGCAGUCGAAGGUAGAGCCAAUGAUUGGGGUGAAGUCGUAACAAGGUAAC